GAGGAAGAUUAUGAAAAAUUAAUAACCGUUUUCAACGGGUUUCUUCUCUCAAUUUCUCUCUUCCUUCUUUUCUGGAAUUCCUUCUUUUCUGUUCUCGUUCUUAAUCUUUCUGUUAGAACGUUGCAAAAGGUAUCAGAGAUAGCCGAUCUUCAUGACAGGGGAUGGAAUCAGUACUCGUAUGCAGAAGGAAAUCGGCCAGAUCCAAGGUGAGAUUUUCAAUUGCAGAUGGAGCUGACUCAGUGGGAUGCACGGAUGGACUCUAAGAUGAAAGAUCUGCAAGCAAAAAUUAAGUUGGAGGUACGUUCAGAACUUCGCUCUAAGCUUCAUUCUUUGUUUGAACAGUAUUUGGGCCAAGGGAAUCCAUCGAUUAUGGGGAAUGCCUCUAGUAGUAAGGGAAAGGGAAUAUUAGGAACACCACCGGGAUUUCCAUCCCAAGAACAUUUAAUAGUGUCUCCAAGAGCAGAUCUCGGCCAUUCUAAUGUGUUACAGAAGGGAGUGCUGCUGGAGUCUGAACACUCUUCUUUCCGAGUUGACUGUCCACAUUUUAAUGGUGAGCACUUCCAAGGUUGGUGGUCCAAAAUAGAGCAGUAUUUCGAGGCUGAAGGAAUUGUAGAUCAUACAAAAGUCAGGAUCGUCAUGUUACAUUUGGAAGGCAAAGCACUUGAUUGGCAUCAUUUUUUUGUGCGUAGACAUGGAGGGAUACAUCAAGUGUCUUAGGAGGUUUAUUCACGGGGUCUUCGAGAGCGUUUCAGGUCUGAUUGUUUCUUAGAUCCUAUGUCCGAAUUAAUGUCCCUUAAACAACUUAGCUCAGUGGACCAAUUUCAUGAUGAUUUUUUGAGUUUGUUGAAUCAGCUCGGCUUACCGGAAUCUUAUGCAUUAAGCAUAUUCCUUAGCAACCUCAAACUAGAAAUCGGCUAAUAUCUUCUGUUGUUCAAGCCGCAAACGUUGGUUGAAGGUUAUCAGUUGGCACGUCAGGUGGAAACAAUUGUUGCGGGGCCGGUCAAAAGAGAAGGCGGUCUUCUAGGUGGGUCUAAUAUAAUGAAGCCAUUAUUUCCUGUGCCCAGGAAUCAGCGUGGGAGUGGUAGUGUUGGAUCAGCCAGUGAGACAGUGAGUGGAAAAUUUGCUCCUAAACUUCCUUCCAAGUCCUUAUCGCAAGCUGAGUUGGAGGACAGGCGGAAAAAAGGACUUUGUUUUUGGUUCGAACUGAAAUAUGCCCCAGGCCAUAAAUGUUCUAAGUCACAACUGUAUCAGCUGGUUGUCGAACCUUCCUGGGAAAAUGAACAUGAAAUACGCAGUCCUUCUCCGGAUGAUUUCCACGAUUGUGAUGAACAAUUGGAGUUGACAGAGACGUUGCCUGGGAAUGCAGCUCCGGUGUUGUCUUUACAAGCAUUACAGGGGUUACAGGGUCCAACAACUUUGCGUUUUCCAACGGUUAUUGAUCAAUCACAAGUGGUAGCUUUGGUUGAUUCGGGAAGUACGCAUAAUUUCAUUGAUUUCAAAGUAGCUAAACGGUUGAAUCUGACUAUCGAGGCAGGGCCAAAUUUGAAGGUACUGGUAGCUAAUGGGGUUAAAUUGUGUACGCAAGGUUUGUGCAGGCUAUUAUAUGGGAGGCACAAGGAUAUCAGUGCACUACAGAUUUUUUAGUGUUAUCCGUUAAGGGGUUUGAUCUGGUUCUUGGUGUCCAGUGGUUGUCAGCGUUGGGGCCGAUCGUGUGGGAUUUUUCCAACCUAACCAUGAAGUUUAAAAAUGGGAAUCAGACUUGUGUUUUGAGGGGAACAGUACCUGGUUUAAUCCAUAUCGUUCAUAGUGGAGAAUUUUCCAAGUUCAUGAGCUUAGUGGGAAAUGGUCCGUGUCCGAUGCUACUAGCUUCAUUUGAGCAGACUCUUCUUACAAUGCAGUCAACCAGUCUACCGCUUGAGUUGCAAAAUCUCUUGAGUGAUUUUGAUGAUGUCUUUCAGUUGCCUACGUGUCUACCUCCUGUUCGUUUACAUGAUCACCGAAUACCAUUAGUAGACGAAUCUAAGGUGGUUCGAAUGCGACCAUACAGAUAUCCUACGGUUCAGAAAACCGAAAUAGAAAAACUGGUGUAGGAGAUGUUACGAGCUGGAGUUAUUCGUGACAGCAACAGCCCUUUCGCUUCUCCUGUGGUCAUGGUCAAGAAAAAAGAUGGAAGUUGGCGACUUUGCAUUGACUACAGACAACUUAAUCAACUCACGAUCAAAGAUAGAUUUCCCAUUCCCAUUAUUGAAUAGCUACUUGAUGAGUUGGGGCAAGCUCAGUACUUCUCUUAAGUUGGACUUGCGUUCGGGGUAUCAUCAAAUCCGAAUGUGCGAAUAGGACAUUUUUAAAACAGCUUUCAAAACUCACGAAGGACAUUAUGAGUUUUUGAUCAUGCCAUUUGGCUUGACAAACGCUCCUUCGAGCUUUCAAUCCCUCAUGAACUCGAUUUUUCGGCCUAUGUUGAGGAAGUUCGUCCUUGUAUUUUUUGACGACAUUCUUGUUUAUUCGAGAGGUUGGGGUGAUCAUGUAAUGCAUUUGAGUGAAGUAUUACAAGUAUUGCGGACGAAUCAGCUUUAUGCAAAGCAGUCCAAAUGUGUCUUUGGAGCCACACAUAUCGAAUAUUUGGGACACGUGAUUUCUCAAGGUACUGUUUGCAUGGACCGAGCUAAGGUGGAAAGUGUCUUGGAUUGGCCUCCUCCUGGAUCUAUCAAGGAAUUACGUGGAUUUUUGGGGCUAUCAGGGUAUUAUAGGAGGUUUAUACGUGGUUAUGGAUUGUUUGCCAAGCCUCUUACAGCCUUGUUACGAAAGGAUGUUCCUUGGAAAUGGGCAGAUGAAGAGCAAGCAGCUUUUGAGCAGCUCAAAUCCGCUGUUUGCCAAGCACCAGUAUUAACCUUACCCAACUUCUAGGAGUUGUUUUGCGUGGAAACUGAUGCAAGUGGCCAUGGAAUUGGAGCUGUGCUUCAGCAAAAUGGGAAGCCAGUGGCGUUUUUUAGUAAGGCCCUUGGGGUUAAAAAUCAGGCUUUGUCCAUUUAUAACAAAGAAAUGAUGGCUGUAUUGUUAGCAGUCAAGAAGUGGCAUUCUUACUUGGUUGGCCGAAAUUUUAUUAUCAAAACAGACCAUCAAAGUCUGAAGUUCUUGUCGGAACAACAAGCUAUCACUCCUUAUCAGCAAAAAUGGGUGGCAAAGAUGCUGGGGUAUGAUUAUUCGAUUGUUUAUCGUAAGGGAACUCAAAAUGCUGUGGCAGACGCACUAUCAAGAAAACCAAUUGCUUCUGAGGGUCAGUUGUUCCAAUGCGAAGGAGGUAACGAUGGGGAUUGGUCUAAAGUAUGGGAACAAAUCAUAGCGUUAUAUGCAUCGGACAAGAAGCUUUGUCGGCUGAUUGAGCAGGUAAGAACUCAACCCCAACUACAUCCAAAAUAUUCCUGGCAUGGAAAUUGUUUGCGCAGGAAAGGAAAUGUGGUAGUGGGUGAUGAUGGGUUGUUGCGGAAGCGCCUCUUCAGUCUAUUCCACGAUACUCUCAUGAGUGGUCAUUCGGGAGUCCAUGCCACGCGUCAUCAAAUAUCUGCCUUGUUAUAUUGGAAAGGGCUCACUAAAGAUGUCAAACAGUGGGUAAGGGAAUGUGUCACUUGCCAACGUUGCAAAAACGAUAAUGCUGCUUAUCCGGGUCUCUUGCAACCAUUACCGUUACCUGAACGAGCUUGGGCAGAUAUUAGCAUGGAUUUUGUGGAAGGCCUGCCACUCUCGCACGGGAAGUCAACGGUCCUUGUGGUGGUUGAUCGCUUAACCAAAUAUGGCCAUUUUUUAGCAUUGGCUCACCCUUAUACUGCUCUUACAGUGGCUCAAGAGUACCUCACUCAUGUAUAUAAACUACACGGCAUCCCUGAGUCUAUUGUUACCGAUCGGGACAAAAUAUUCAUGAGCCACUUUUAGCAGGAACUAUUCAAACACAUGGGCACUAAGUUGAAGAAGUCUACCGCCUAUCACCCUCAAAUCGACGGCCAGACGGAGGUUUUGAACAAAUGUUUGGAGGGCUACUUGAGGUGCAUGGUGGGUGAGAAACCGUCGACGUGGGGUUCUUGGUUGCCAUUAGCGGAAUGGUGGUAUAACACGACCUAUCAUUCUGCCAUUCGGACAACACCAUAUGAGGCUUUGUAUGGACAAACACCUCCAUUGCAUUUGCCUUACAUAUCAGGGGCAACUCUGGUCGCUUCGGUGGACCGUACAUUGCAAAACCGAGAAGCUAUGCGUAAGGUGCUUAAGUUCCAUUUGAGUCGGGCACAGGAUCGAAUGAAACAAAUGGCUGAUAAGCGGCGAUUGGAAAGGGAAUUUCAGGUUGGGGAUUUAGUUUAUUUGAAACUACAACCUUAUCGACAGCAUUCUUUGCGCAAGUUCAAGAAUCAGAAGCUAUCACCUCGAUACUUUGGACCAUUUCCGGUGGAAGCACGCAUAGGGAAUGUGGCUUACCGAUUGUCUCUGCCUCCAGCAGCUAGGAUCCAUCUACCUUUCAUGUAUCCCAGCUGAAGAAACAUAUUGGUUCAUCCGUGAGUGCACCUACUCUUCCUCCAAUGGGUUCGGAUGGAGCCUUGCUUAAAACACCAAUUAUAAUUUUGGAUAGACGUAUGGUCAAGCAAGGAAACCAGCCAGCAGUUGAAAUAUUGGUUGAAUGGGCAGAUACGUUUCCAAAGGAUGCUUCUUGGGAAAAAUGAUUGGACUUUCAACGUCGUUAUCCGACCUUUGAUCAUUGAGGACAAGGAUUCUCUUUCCAGGGUGGGCAACUGUUAUGGGAGGAAUAACGAUAUUAUAGUUUUCAUAAUUUAGUUAAGUGUUUUUCGAAUUAGUUAAACGCUACGUAUUUGCUGGUAAGAGUUAAAUGAAACGGUGAGUUUUUGUUUAGUGGAAACGGGAGCGUUUAGCUCCUGUCCAGGGUUAUAUUUUGCAUGUAACUGCUUGAGGAAGAUUAUGAAAAAUUAAUAACCGUUUUCAAUAGGUUUCUUCUCUCAAUUUCUCUCUUCCUUCUUUUCUGAAAUUCCUUCUUUUCUGUUCUCGUUCUUAAUCUUUCUGUUAGAACGUUGCAGGAAAGGGAAGACAACCGGGCGCGCCACCGCCGGCCGUCGGUGGGAAGUAGGUCGCCGUCGACGAAAGCAACAUGAAGGAGCGGCUGAUCGGGGAAGAAAGAAAGGAAGAAGAAAGAAGAAAAAAGAAAAUAAUUUUUUUAAUCAUGCUAACCCGACCCGAAUCCGGCCCUACCCGACUAACCCGUGACCCCACCCGGCAGCAGUUAGCAGGCCCAACAGUAGCAUAUCAGCCCAAACAAAAUAGCAACAGCAGCAAUAAAAAAAAGGCCUGUCCAAGCCCAGCAGCUCAGGCCCAAGCAGCAGGCCAUUUCAGCGCAGGCCCAGCAGCAUAGCAGCAUCCCCCUCAGGCCCAGCGACGCGGCCCAACAAGCCCAAGUCCCACAGGCCAACCCAGCAAAAAAAAAGGGAGAAAAAAAAAAGAAAAAGAGCGGUUCAAUUUGCUAACCCGUUCGACCAAGCUUGUUUUUUGGACAUUUUCGGUAAUUUUGUUUAUUUCGCUUUUAAUUUAAUACUCGUAUUUUUAUGUUAUUUCGUUUUAAUAUUAUUAGUACUUUAUGCAUUUUUUAUAUUUUUGUAUUUAUAUUUUUAAUUUAAUUUAAUUUCAAUUUAAUUUUAUUUUAAAUAAUUUUAAUAAA
rnacentral:lncRNA from 1 species